UGUUAUGUGGCUUAGUUGGUAAAAGCGCCGGUUUAACGAAUACGGAGUCGUGGAUUCAAAUCCCUCCAAAACGU
rnacentral:tRNA from 1 species